GGUUCCGGAACUUGGAAUGAGCGGCCUGGGGGCGGGGAGAGAGAAGCCUUUCUCGGGCUGUGUGUGGGCCUGCGGAGGGAGACACAGCGGCAAGAAGCUGCUGCUGGGGGUCAGGCUUGUAGCUUUUAGUCUUCUAAACACUGAUGGAAGUUCAUUGUUCGGCUUCAGUUUCGCGCUGUUUUUGGACAUAGUGCCGUGAACAGUGGAAACACAGACUAGAGGCAUGUUAUAACCCUGAAAAGGACAGGCAAAUACUUGAAGGACCAGGAUGAUGUUGUAUUUCCUUGGUGCAAAGCCAAGUCUGACCAGUUACUGCUAACAAUCAGCAGGCCAAUACUUGAAGGACCAGGACAAUUUAGUGUUUUCUCAGUACAAAGCCAAUUGUGACCAGCAUCUUACAACAACCACCAGGAUGUGGCAAGUGGAUGCCAAUCUCAAAAUAUCCUUGAAUGGAUCGACGUGCUCGGCCUGAAGGCAAUGAGGAGUUUGCAAAGGGUUAGGAAUCACGUGCAGAGCAGAUCAGAUGCUGCCAGACCUGCUGAGUUUCACCAGAACUUUGUGUUUCUCACCUGCAACAUUAAGUUUGUUCCUCUUUCUCUCCCUCUCCAUAAUCCAGCUAAGAUUUUGAAAUUUGCCAUUCUUGCUGCCUUCUCCUGAUUGAUGCAAGAUGAAAAGCUUCAAACAGAAUCUGUUCAUUUUCCAGGUGCAGUCCUGCCAAGUGAAUCUCGUCAAAGAUUUCCAACUUCCCAAAGUGGUCUGCAUCUACUUAAUGACCUAAACUUCUGGU